GGAGCGGUAGUUCAGUCGGUUAGAAUACCGGCCUGUCACGCCGGGGGGGUCGCGGGUUCGAGUCCCGUCCGCUCCG
rnacentral:tRNA from 2 species